rnacentral:rRNA from 1 species
AGAGUUUGAUCCUGGCUCAGGACGAACGCUGGCGGCGCGCCUAACACAUGCAAGUCGAACGGAGCUGAGAGGAGCUUGCUUUUCUUAGCUUAGUGGCGAACGGGUGAGUAACGCGUGAGUAACCUGCCCUGGAGUGGGGGACAACAGUUGGAAACGACUGCUAAUACCGCAUAAGCCCACGGCCCGGCAUCGGGCUGAGGGAAAAGGAUUUAUUCGCUUCAGGAUGGACUCGCGUCCAAUUAGCUAGUUGGUGAGGUAACGGCCCACCAAGGCGACGAUUGGUAGCCGGACUGAGAGGUUGAACGGCCACAUUGGGACUGAGACACGGCCCAGACUCCUACGGGAGGCAGCAGUGGGGGAUAUUGCACAAUGGGGGAAACCCUGAUGCAGCGACGCCGCGUGGAGGAAGAAGGUUUUCGGAUUGUAAACUCCUGUCGUUAGGGACGAUAAUGACGGUACCUAACAAGAAAGCACCGGCUAACUACGUGCCAGCAGCCGCGGUAAAACGUAGGGUGCAAGCGUUGUCCGGAAUUACUGGGUGUAAAGGGAGCGCAGGCGGACCGGCAAGUUGGAAGUGAAAACUAUGGGCUCAACCCAUAAAUUGCUUUCAAAACUGCUGGCCUUGAGUAGUGCAGAGGUAGGUGGAAUUCCCGGUGUAGCGGUGGAAUGCGUAGAUAUCGGGAGGAACACCAGUGGCGAAGGCGACCUACUGGGCACCAACUGACGCUGAGGCUCGAAAGCAUGGGUAGCAAACAGGAUUAGAUACCCUGGUAGUCCAUGCCGUAAACGAUGAUUACUAGGUGUUGGAGGAUUGACCCCUUCAGUGCCGCAGUUAACACAAUAAGUAAUCCACCUGGGGAGUACGACCGCAAGGUUGAAACUCAAAGGAAUUGACGGGGGCCCGCACAA